GGCAGCAAGGGGGAGGGGGGAGGGGGGCCGCCCAAACCACGCAUGUGAGAAAUUCGGAGUAACAUCUUCACCAAAGACCACACCACCCGCAGUCGUGCCCUCGCAACCGCGUGGGCAAGGACGGGGAUGCGUGUCUGCCCGUGAGGGCCCGGCGUCACUCGACGCCCGCAAUACUGGCAUCAGAAAUAUCAGGGGGCCCGGGUUCUCGAACACCGUGGUUUUCCCCCUCUGGGAAGCCGUUGCGAAGAUUGUGUGUUGACACUUGAGUGCGAUGCGUGGCGUGGCCUGCGGGGCGGGGGGGUUCUGCCUCUCCCUCCCGGGCCAUGAUUCGAUUCCGAUUAUUCUGCU
rnacentral:RNase_P_RNA from 2 species